AGUGAACGCUGGCGGUAGGCCUAACACAUGCAAGUCGAACGGCAGCACAGUAAGAGCUUGCUCUUACGGGUGGCGAGUGGCGGGCGGGUGAGGGAUACAUCGGAAUCUACUUUUUCGUGGGGGAUAACGUAGGGAAACUUACGCUAAUACCGCAUACGACCUACGGGUGAAAGCAGGGGAUCUUCGGACCUUGCGCGAUUGAAUGAGCCGAUGUCGGAUUAGCUAGUUGGCGGGGUAAAGGCCCACCAAGGCGACGAUCCGUAGCUGGUCUGAGAGGAUGAUCAGCCACACUGGAACUGAGACACGGUCCAGACUCCUACGGGAGGCAGCAGUGGGGAAUAUUGGACAAUGGGCGCAAGCCUGAUCCAGCCAUACCGCGUGGGUGAAGAAGGCCUUCGGGUUGUAAAGCCCUUUUGUUGGGAAAGAAAAGCAGCAGGUUAAUACCCCGCUGUUCUGACGGUACCCAAAGAAUAAGCACCGGCUAACUUCGUG
rnacentral:rRNA from 1 species